UUGCUACUUUGCUGACGAGCGGCGGACGGGUGAGUAAUGCUUGGGAACAUGCCUUGAGGUGGGGGACAACAGUUGGAAACGACUGCUAAUACCGCAUAAUGUCUACGGACCAAAGGGGGCUUCGGCUCUCGCCUUUAGAUUGGCCCAAGUGGGAUUAGCUAGUUGGUGAGGUAAUGGCUCACCAAGGCAACGAUCCCUAGCUGGUUUGAGAGGAUGAUCAGCCACACUGGGACUGAGACACGGCCCAGACUCCUACGGGAGGCAGCAGUGGGGAAUAUUGCACAAUGGGCGCAAGCCUGAUGCAGCCAUGCCGCGUGUGUGAAGAAGGCCUUCGGGUUGUAAAGCACUUUCAGUCAGGAGGAAAGGUUAGUAGUUAAUACCUGCUAGCUGUGACGUUACUGACAGAAGAAGCACCGGCUAACUCCGUGCCAGCAGCCGCGGUAAUACGGAGGGUGCGAGCGUUAAUCGGAAUUACUGGGCGUAAAGCGUACGCAGGCGGUUUGUUAAGCGAGAUGUGAAAGCCCCGGGCUCAACCUGGGAACUGCAUUUCGAACUGGCAAACUAGAGUGUGAUAGAGGGUGGUAGAAUUU
rnacentral:rRNA from 1 species